CCCUUAGACGUUCUGGGCCGCAUGCGCGCUACACUGACGGAGCCAGCGAGUAUAAACCUUGGCCGAGAGGUCUGGGAAAUCUUGUGAAACUCCGUCGUGCUGGGGAUAGAGCAUUGUAAUUAUUGCUCUUCAACGAGGAAUUCCUAGUAAGCGCAAGUCAUCAGCUUGCGUUGAUUACGUCCCUGCCCUUUGUACACACCGCCCGUCGCUACUACCGAUUGAAUGGCUUAGUGAGGCUUCCGGAUUGGUUUAGAGAAGGGGGCAACUCCAUCUUGGAACCGAGAAGCUAGUCAAACUUGGUCAUUUAGAGGAAGUAAAAGUCGUAACA
rnacentral:rRNA from 1 species